rnacentral:rRNA from 1 species
CGUGUAGGCGGUCAGAUAAGUCUGGUGUGAAAGCCCUUGGCUUAACCAAGGAAUGUCGCUGGAAACUGUCUGGCUUGAGUACGAGAGAGGAGAGUGGAAUUCCCGGUGUAGAGGUGAAAUUCGUAGAUAUCGGGAGGAACACCAGUGGCGAAGGCGGCUCUCUGGAUCGAUACUGACGCUGAUACGCGAAAGCGUGGGGAGCAAACAGGAUUAGAUACCCUGGUAGUCCACGCUGUAAACGUUGGGCACUAGGUGUAGGAGGUAUUGACCCCUUCUGUGCCGAAGCUAACGCACUAAGUGUCCCGCCUGGGGACUACGGCCGCAAGGUUAAA